GAUGAACGCUGGCGGCGUGCUUAACACAUGCAAGUCGAACGGUGAAGGCGGAGCUUGCUCUGCUGGAUCAGUGGCGAACGGGUGAGUAACACGUGAGCAAUCUGCCCCUGACUCUGGGAUAAGCGCUGGAAACGGCGUCUAAUACUGGAUACGAGCUGCGAAGGCAUCUUCAGCAGCUGGAAAGAAUUUCGGUCAGGGAUGAGCUCGCGGCCUAUCAGCUUGUUGGUGAGGUAAUGGCUCACCAAGGCGUCGACGGGUAGCCGGCCUGAGAGGGUGACCGGCCACACUGGGACUGAGACACGGCCCAGACUCCUACGGGAGGCAGCAGUGGGGAAUAUUGCACAAUGGGCGAAAGCCUGAUGUAGCAACGCCGCGUGAGGGACGACGGCCUUCGGGUUGUAAACCUCUUUUAGCAGGGAAGAAGCGAAAGUGACGGUACCUGCAGAAAAAGCGCCGGCUAACUACGUG
rnacentral:rRNA from 1 species